UCGCAUGGAUUACGUCCCUGCCCUUUGUACACACCGCCCGUCGCACCUACCGAUUGAAUGAUUCGGUGAAAAUUCUGGACUGUGGCUCGGACGCCUUCGGGCGACCUUGCUGUGGGAAGUUAUUUAAACCUCAUCAUUUAGAGGAAGGUGAAGUCGUAACAAGGUUUCCGUAGGUGAACCUGCGGAAGGAUCAUUACCACACCCUCAAAUA
rnacentral:rRNA from 1 species